AUACCUUUCUCGGCCUUUUGGCUAAGAUCAAGUGUAGUAUCUGUUCUUAUCAGUUUAAUAUCUGAUAUGUGGGCCAUGUGUCUACUUUGAUAUUAAAUUUAUUUUUCGUGGGGGAGAGUCCACCAUAGUGGCUUGCCACUAGGGCCCUCAUGUGUCGCCUAGGCGUUGCACUACAGCCUUGGCUGGUGCACCCCAUC
rnacentral:snRNA from 1 species